rnacentral:rRNA from 1 species
GACGAACGCUGGCGGCGUGCUUAACACAUGCAAGUCGAACGGAAAGGCCCUGCUUUUGUGGGGUGCUCGAGUAGCGAACGGGUGAGUAACACGUGAGUAACCUGCCCUUGACUUUGGGAUAACUUCAGGAAACUGGGGCUAAUACCGGAUAGGAGCCCCUGCUGCAUGGUGGGGGUUGGAAAGUUUCGGCGGUUGGGGAUGGACUCGCGGCUUAUCAGCUUGUUGGUGGGGUAGUGGCUUACCAAGGCUUUGACGGGUAGCCGGCCUGAGAGGGUGACCGGCCACAUUGGGACUGAGAUACGGCCCAGACUCCUACGGGAGGCAGCAGUGGGGAAUAUUGCACAAUGGGCGGAAGCCUGAUGCAGCAACGCCGCGUGCGGGAUGACGGCCUUCGGGUUGUAAACCGCUUUCGCCUGUGACGAAGCGUGAGUGACGGUAAUGGGUAAAGAAGCACCGGCUAACUACGUG